GUGUCAGCAGCCGCGGUAAUACGAAGGGGGCUAGCGUUGUUCGGAAUUACUGGGCGUAAAGCGCACGUAGGCGGAUUGUUAAGUCAGAGGUGAAAUCCCGGAGCUCAACUUCGGAACUGCCUUUGAUACUGGCAAUCUAGAGUCCGGAAGAGGUUAGUGGAAUUCCCAGUGUAGAGGUGAAAUUCGUAGAUAUUGGGAAGAACACCAGUGGCGAAGGCGGCUAACUGGUCCGGUACUGACGCUGAGGUGCGAAAGCGUGGGGAGCAAACAGGAUUAGAUACCCCCGUAGUCC
rnacentral:rRNA from 1 species